UCCUCAGUAGCUCAGCGGUAGAGCAGUUGGCUGUUAACUGACUGGUCGUAGGUUCGAAUCCUACUUGGGGAG
rnacentral:tRNA from 1 species